rnacentral:rRNA from 1 species
ACUCAAAGGAAUUGACGGGGGCUCACACAAGCGGAGGAGCAUGUUGUUCAAUUCGAAGCAACGCGAAAAACCUUACCUGGGUUUGACAUGUAUGAAGUAGGAAUCUGAAAGGAUAACGAUACGGUUUACCGGAAAACAUACACAGGUGCUGCAUGGCUGUCGUCAGCUCGUGUCGUGAGACGUUAGGUUAAGUCCUGUAACGAGCGAAACCCCUGUCGUCUGUUGCUACCGCGUAAUGGCGGGCACUCUGACGAGACUGCCAGUGUUAAACUGGAGGAAGGUGGGGACGACGUCAAGUCAUCAUGGUCCUUACACCCAGGGCUACAAACGUGCUACAAUGGUCGGUACAGAGAGUUGCAAUCUCGCGAGAAGGAGCUAAUCUUCAAAACCGACCCCAGUUCGGAUUGGAGGCUGAAAUUCGCCUCCAUGAAGCCGGAUUCGCUAGUAAUCGCGGAUCAGAUACGCCGCGGUGAAUACGUUCCUGAGCCUUGUACACACCGCCCGU